GACCUGGUGGUGAAAGGUAUCACACCCACUUUCUAUGAUGUAUCCAUUUCUGCGCAAUUUGCAGUGGGAGUACCUGGUUCAAAUCCAGGUCGGGUUG